rnacentral:lncRNA from 1 species
GUAGUUCUGGCUGACUCUGCUGGGAUUUUGAAGGCUGACAUCAAAGUGAGAAGAAAUGUGCACAGAGCUGAAGAGGACCAUGGAUUUUUUUCAUGGCUCAUUUUAAGACUAUUUUCCUUGCCGUAAAACCUUAAGAUGAUAGAUACGGAAUGUUGAAUCAAAGUCAGGUGAACUAAAUUUGCUUCCAACCAGCUAAAGAGAAGGCACAUGAAUGAACAAAUGAACGGACUGAAACCCACCUUUCAGGACCAGUUUAAAGAACAGAUUCCAAAUGGGGGAGGGGACGUUUGCCACCAGCAAGCCCAAAAAAGCCUCCAGGGAGGAUUUCUAAAACCACUUGGUUUCAUCAACAAACUUAUCUGGAAAAGAAAAUACCUUUAAAGUUUGCUGGAGGAAAAUCUGUCACCUCCUUGACCCUUGCACAGCAACCAUUGACUUUAGUAGAGCUCUCAUUCAGAUCAGUGGGAAAACUCCCAUUGAUCGGAUGCAGCAUCAAAGCCCAGCAGAACUGGGUUCAGUCUUAGUGAACUCCGUGUGCCACCCUCUGAAGGAAGAAGAAAAGAUAAUAGAUCUCCAUCUUCUAUUGCCUGUAAAAUAAACAGUUUUGUAGAUGGUGACCAAGAUUUUAUGGACUAACUUCUUUUCUCUGUCAGAUGAUCUAAUAGUCCAGCUCUGUUGGUAACUUGACAGACAAAGAUGUCUGGAUGAAUUUGCAUUACGUGGAAUUACAAUCCAAGGCUGAUCCUGAAAAUGCAUGUAGUCAUGUGAACAAUCCAACCGAUUCCCGUAGGGCUACUCAUGUGUUCCAAAGACUGGGGUUUGAAUUUGAAGAAAAUCAGGUCCCCAGGAUGAACAAUUACCUUGUGGACUUUGGAGGAACUACAGAAGCACAACUGUUCCAUUACUCACUGGUAACGAAACCCCCUGAAGAACCCAUGGCACUGAGCAUGGCUGUAUUUUAUCUAUCUGCUAGAUUGCAGAUGGACAGAUAA